GGACCCGCACAAGUAGUGGAGCAUGUGGUUUAAUUCGAAGAUACGCGCAGAACCUUACCAACACUUGACAUGUUCGUCGCGACUCUAAGAGAUUAGAGUUUUCGGUUCGGCCGGACGAAACACAGGUGCUGCAUGGCUGUCGUCAGCUCGUGUCGUGAGAUGUUGGGUUAAGUCCCGCAACGAGCGCAACCCUCACUUUUAGUUGCCAUCAUUUAGUUGGGCACUCUGAAAGAACUGCCAGUGAUAAGCUGGAGGAAGGUGGGGAUGACGUCAAGUCCUCAUGGCCCUUACGUGUUGGGCUACACACGUGCUACAAUGGCAUUUACAAUAGGAAGCAAGAUGGCGACAUCAAGCAAAUCCUAAAAUGAUGCCUCAGUUCGGAUUGUACUCUGCAACUCGUUUACAUGAAGUUGGAAUCACAAGUAA
rnacentral:rRNA from 1 species